UGGGGAAUUUUGGACAAUGGGGGAAACCCUGAUCCAGCCAUCCCGCGUGUGCGAUGAAGGCCUUCGGGUUGUAAAGCACUUUUGGCAGGGAAGAAACGGCGUCGACUAAUAUUUGGCGUCACUGACGGUACCUGCAGAAUAAGCACCGGCUAACUACGUGCCAGCAGCCGCGGUAAUACGUAGGGUGCAAGCGUUAAUCGGAAUUACUGGGCGUAAAGCGUGCGCAGGCGGUUUGGAAAGAAAGAUGUGAAAUCCCAGAGCUUAACUUUGGAACUGCAUUUUUAACUGCCAAGCUAGAGUAUGUCAGAGGGGGGUAGAAUUCCACGUGUAGCAGUGAAAUGCGUAGAGAUGUGGAGGAAUACCGAUGGCGAAGGCAGCCCCCUGGGAUAAUACUGACGCUCAUGCACGAAAGCGUGGGGAGCAAACAGG
rnacentral:rRNA from 1 species